rnacentral:rRNA from 1 species
GUGACCUGCGGAGGAUCAUUAGUGAAUUAUAGGGCGUCUACUUGUAGAGCCUGACCUCCACUUCUAACACUGUGCACUUGAUGGCGAGGUAAUGGAACUUUCGAGUGAAACUACCUUGCGGCUUCAUUUUAAACAUUAGUCAAAGUAUGUAAUGAAAUAAAAAACAAAAAAAAACUUUCAACAACGGAUCUCUUGGCUCUCGCAUCGAUGAAGAACGCAGCGAAAUGUGAUAAGUAAUGUGAAUUGCAGAAUUCAGUGAAUCAUCGAAUCUUUGAACGCACCUUGCGCUCCCUGGUAUUCCGGGGAGCAUGCCUGUUUGAGUGUCAUGAACUCUUCAACCCACCAGUUUCUAGUAGACUGCGUUGGUGUUUGGAUUUUGAGCGUUGCUAGUCUGACUAGCUCGUUCGUAAUAUAUUAGCAUCUCUAAUUCGAAUUCGGAUUGACUCAGUGUAAUAGACUAUUCGCUGAGGACACUUUUAUUAGUGGCCGUACUAGAACCAGUAGAAGCUUCCAACUAUGUAGUCAACUUUAAUUUAGACCUCAGAUCAGGCAGGAUUACCCGCUGAACUUAA